UGGGGACAGAUGGGGAGUAAGGGCACAGGAACUUUGGUGGGCCUUGGUAUAUUGAUUUAUUUUUAGGAAAAGAGUAUGUUCGAAGAACUUCUUUUGAGGGUUUAGCUCCAUGUUUCCUUGAAACGAAUCCUAUGAGGAUCUCCACAUCUUGCUAUGGUAAUGGGAUAGAAGAGGCCCUGGUUAGCAGCUUCAGAUGAUGGAUACAUAAAAAUGGGAGAGAGAAAACAUGUAAGAGUGACUAAUUGUUGAUUUCCAGGACUCAAACCAAUCUUGAAUUGGAAUUUCAAGACAUAAAAACCACUGCAGGAACCUGCUGGAAAAAUGGCCUCUGGUAUCUCUAUCUGAAAUAUGAUUAUCUUAAGUUCACAAAGCAUUGUGUCUGCAGUGUGAGUUUGAAAACAACAAUGUUAAGGCAACUUCGCAGCUUCUUAAUCAAGCCCUUCUCCACCUCUCCGUGUGGUUUUUGGGGUGGUGGAGGUGGAGCCAAAAGAGAGAGGGCAGUUUCCCAGGGCUGAAGAUGCUACCAUGACUCAUAGGAUCUAUGCAAACCCUGUGAGUGAAUUCUGAGGAAGAAGAAUGAGUAAUAUUUUGAUUGUAUUACUGAUGGUAAUAAGAUAGUAUCAUCAGCGUGGUAUAUUCUGAUUACUGAAUUCUAUUCCCUAUUUUCUUCCUGUGGCCAAAUAAAAUGUGUGUGUGUAAGCUAUGAUAUUUAGUGUUAUCUGAUGAAACAGGUUUAGUGGAAAA
rnacentral:lncRNA from 1 species